GGCAAUCUGGCUGCAGCAUCUGUCACUCCAUUGAUUGUCAGGGUUGAUUUGUGUGACCUGGCUGGCUAGCUAAGUGUCUCCUCCUCUCC
rnacentral:sRNA from 1 species